GACGAACGCUGGCGGCGUGCUUAACACAUGCAAGUCGAACGGAAAGGCCCUGCUUUUGUGGGGUGCUCGAGUGGCGAACGGGUGAGUAACACAUGAGUAACCUGCCCUUGACUUUGGGAUAACUUCAGGAAACUGGGGCUAAUACCGGAUAGGAGCUCCUGCUGCAUGGUGGGGGUUGGAAAGUUUCGGCGGUUGGGGAUGGACGGGCGGCUUAUCAGCUUGUUGGUUGGGUAGUGGCUUACCAAGGGUUUGACGGGUAGCCGGCCUGAGAGGGUGACCGGGCACAUUGGGACUGAGAGAGGGCCCAGAGUCGAACGUGAGACAACAGUGGGGAAUAUUGUACAGUGAGCGGGAGCCUGAGACGGAAGCCCCGGGGGCGGAAUGACGGCCUGCGGGUUAAGAAACGCUGUCGCCUGAGACGAAGCGGGAGUGACGGUAAUGAAUAAAGAAGCACCGGCUAACUUCGUG
rnacentral:rRNA from 1 species